CACAAAAUGACAGGGGCUCAAGUCACAGCUCUCCAGUGUGCAAUGUGCUGUCAUUCUCACGUCUGUGUUUACUGACUAGAAAUACAAAAAAAA